CCUCAGUGUCAGACCGGGAAGAGGGAAACAAGCUUCUCUCCCCCGGUCUGUGGCUCAGCCAUGCUACAUGCUUAGACUGAUAGGAGGGAAGCGUUGUACAGUGCACUCCCCUCCUGCCGGUUAGCUGGGCAUUGUGCCAUCUGGCACCGAGCGGCCUAAGUGGCCGCCUAAUCCACCCAGCAGUGGCGCUAGUGCUGGUCCCUAAGCUGUUAG